GUGCUAGCAUUGCACAUCCUCAUAUUGCCGACUGUACUAUCAAAUUUAUACUGAAUGGACAUUUUGGACUAUAAGUAUGCUUGUGAGCUGCCUGGCCUCACUACAAAGCUCUCUCUCUAAGCACAUGGGUCUUGCCUGAUCCCAAUGUCUUCAGCACUACCUCUCCUGGUCCUCCGCCAGCCGCGCUUGCCUGAGCUCCACAGCCAGGGACCCUCCGCACUGGACCAGGCACCACCAUGCCCCCAUCAUUUACAUCCUUUAAGCCAUGGACAGGCAGAGACGGAGCAGCUCGCCAACGGCCCGAUGCCAGGCCUGCCGCCUCUGAUAAACAGAAACCCUCCUCUUUCUGCCCAGCUCUCUGCUUUUUUCCCAUCCCUCUCAUGUCUCAGCUAUAGCCGGCCCGUACAGCAUCUGUGGACUCAGGCGAAGGAAAAGCAGUUGCCAAAUUCACUUAUUUUCAGUGUUUUUCUCUUUUUUGGGUUGAAAAAGAGAAUGACUAAGAAACCAUGAAGAUGAUUAGGGAAGCUUUUCUCCUAAACAUUGUUUUGUGAUUUUGAAGUUUGCAUGGUGACUACAACAAUUUGACAUGAAGUGAGUUAAUGAAAUGCUCUUCAUAUUGCCUAUUUUAAGCAGAUGGUAGGGCUCUUUGAAGAGUAUGAUCAUAUAUACUGUGCAAUGGUAGAAAUGUGUAACCUGUUGUAGCAAAGACUUUGCAAUCUCUUGUGGAAAAGAAGUACACAAGCAAACUUUUAAGAGUACUUAUUACACAAAUUAGGGUUGGGUUGAACAUAUUGAUUUCUCAGUUUUAAUCGAUUUUCAUUUUGAUGAACAGAUAUUGAUUCUUAAAGGGUUAGUUCACCCAAAAAUGAAAUUUUGAAAAGGUCUUUAUGGGUUUGGAAUGACAUGAGGGUGAGUAAUUAAUGACAGAAAUUUUUGGGUGAACUAACCCUUUAAAUCCCAAGAAUCAAUGUUUAAUUUAUUCUGUUUUCAGUUGAUAAAUCAACAGAAAUUUCUGGCAUUUUCUGGCAUUCUCUCGCAAUUGCGAGUUUAUAUCUCACAAUCCGGACUUUAUAACUUGCAAUUGCGAUCUCACAAUUUUGAGAAAAAAGUCUUGCAACUGCGUGAAAUAAAGUGAGAAUUGAGAGAUGUAAACUUGCGAUUGUGAGAAAAAAAAGUCUUCAUUUAUCAAGCCAUCAAGCAAACUUGAUUUGAAAUUGAUUCUAAGACUGGACUAGAUUAUUGAUCAGACAUACUUCAGGACUUUUAUUUUGAUAUUCUUUUGCCUUGCUGUCGUUUGUUUAUGUUUGCCUGUUCUGCGUUUAAUUCCAGUUUUAGACUUGCCCUGCAUCCCAAUGUGCAUAUUUCUGCCCUAAAUAGUAUUGAAGAUUACUAAUGUCACAUACUAUUUAGGAUGGAUAGUAUGCACAUUGAGAUGCAGGCAUACACUCGUGAACUUCCCUAAGGAGGGGAAUCCCCGCUGCCAUUUUGAAGUGCGUUUAACUUUGUCAAGUGGACGAGGGAAGUUUAUUUGGACAGACCCUCGAACCCCUGAUUUUGACAGAGGGAGUGAGCCUACUCAAUAUGUACACUUCAAGCAGAUACAUAGACCACAAUGCAACACGAUUGUGACGUCACAGCAGAUUGAGCUUAAUUUACCCCCACCCCACACAAAUCUAUUGUAUAAUAUUGGAGUUAUUUUGACAUUUAACUGCAUUUAAUACUUGUAGCUACCUUUUUUUUUGUUUUUGUUUUUUACACAGUUAUAGUUUAUUGUAUUGUUAUCAUUUCCAUUUGUGUGUAUUUUAUAUUUAAUAUAAUAUAUUAAUAUUUAAUAUUUGUUCAUAUUUAAUUUUUAACAGCCUAAGCAUACAUACAGGCCUAACUGCUUAAGUCGUGACGUAAGGAACGCCAUUUCUGGGUCCAAGCCUCGACUCGUUUCACUUGAGAAUCCCAUCGCGACGGGCGUUUAUGAGCGCUAUUUAUUCAUAUUAAACGUUUAACAUUUAAAAAAGUUAAACAUUUAAAAUACUUAGUCUACACAACAGCCUCGGUGCUCACAACAUCACAGAAUUAAUAUUUUAAUGAUUUAUAAAAGACGAAUCACUGUCUGGCCAUCUGGGAUUUUGGUAUGGAGAUAAAGGUUAUGAUUAUUAUUUUUUGAUAGUAUUACACCACAUCGUGCGUGUAUAUUAGCACAAUUUGUUGUUUUCUUGUGGUACGAGAUAGAGUAUUUGGACCCUGGAAGCGCUGCCGCAUGAUAUCAGACUUAACAACUGAAAUGAAUGGCACGUAAACAAAUUUAUAUGGAUUAAAAAAAAACAAAAAAAAACUAUAAAUAAUAAAUCAGCUCCAUAUUGGAUUCCAAGUGAUCAAGGGCUUAGGGUGUUCCAUAUUGCAAUGGUUCCGUCAGCAGUGGGCACUAGUACAUCCGAGUUAAUGAGACGGAGGGAAGUUAGCGAGGAAAGGGCAUAAAAAAAUUGGACUUAGGCCUAGUCCACAUGUACAUGGGUAUUUUUAUAAACAUAUACAAAUACUAUGUAUUUUUAUAUGUUUAUAAACACACUAUGAAGCGCUGUCAAGAGCAUGCCAAACCAACAGGUGGCGAUAUAACCCUAACCGUAAAGCCAUGUUGGGCAAUCAGAAGCCUGGAUAAAAGGUUAUUACCAGUUCCGGUUCCAACGUCACAAGCCAAAAUCUCUGGUUUCACCGUCUACAUGACAACACUGCAACCGGAGUUUCUAAAAAUCUUCACCCUGGCAGAAGUUUCAGUGACCGGAUACUGCAUUUGCAUGUGGACGAACGGCCAAACUGCAUAGAAAAACCUGCGGUUUUGAAAAUUCCCAUGUUCGUGUGGACAGGGCCUUAAACGCAGCCCUUGUUAGUUUCCAUCACAACUAAUUACCUUCACCUGUUCCUUGUUAGCCUCUUCUUACCCAGUGUAUUUAUACCCCUGUGUUUCAGUCCUUGUUUGUCAGUCAUUGUCUUUACAACCCUGUUUAAAGCUGUUGAGUUUCUUGUUCCCGAAUUAGAUUGGAUUGUUAGGUUAUCUUUUUGUGUUUGUUGAAUAAAACUGCUUGCUAUAUGA